AGUAACCAGACCCUCCCACCUCUAGUGAAGUCAGAGCUCCAUCACUCUGAGUUCAGUCGGCUCACAACACAGUCAUGGUCCCAGCUGCUCUCAUAAAGCUCUCUGCAGCUCUGCUCUGGCUUGGAGGUCUAACAGGCGGCAGUGAUGUCACUCAGACUCCUCUGCUGUGGGCCAACCAGAGUCAGUCUGCCACCAUCAACUGCAGUCAAAAUAAAGAUGUUAAUCAUAACCAGAUGUACUGGUACCAACAGCUGCCGGGUCAGAACAUGAAGCAAAUAGUUUUCACCACAUCGUACAGCGCUGCACAGUAUGAAGAAGGCUUCAGCAAGGAGAAGUUUGAAGUAGAGAAGAAAGACGCUUACACCGGGUCUCUGACAGUGAAGCAGCUGCAGCCUGAAGACGGCGGAGUGUAUUUCUGUUCUGUCAGUAAACACAGUGAUGCAGCCGAUUAAAGAGCUGCACAAAAACCCAGAGACGGUGAAAGAAAACUUCUCUGUUUUAACCUGUAGAUGGAGCUAAAGAGCAGAGUAGACUGGAUUUUAUACACACAGGUAUAUCUUUACAUCUUUAACAUGUUUCAGUGAAUAGCAAAAACUAAUUUAAAAAAAGAUUUAUUGUGAUGAAUGUUUAUAAUCCCGAGUAAAAAAUAAGUUCAAGCACACUUAGUAGCCACAACGACAAUAGCAGUUUUCAAACAACUGCUAUUGAUUGAUUUUAUAUUGAACUUACCCCUGCUUGGCUCUUAGAUUGACACUAUAAAGUUUAAAUAU